rnacentral:rRNA from 1 species
GACGGGACCGCACAAGCGGUGGAUGAUGUGGAUAAUUCGAUGCAACGCGAAAACCUUACCACCUUUGACAUGUACGGAAUCCUUUAGAGAUAGAGGAGUGCUCGAAAGAGAACCGUAACACAGGUGCUGCAUGGCUGUCGUCAGCUCGUGUCGUGAGAUGUUGGGUUAAGUCCCGCAACGAGCGCAACCCUUGUCAUUAGUUGCCAUCAUUUGGUUGGGCACUCUAAUGAGACUGCCGGUGACAAACCGGAGGAAGUGGGGAUGACGUCAAGUCCUCAUGGCCCUUAUGGGUAGGGCUUCACACGUCAUACAAUGGUCGGUACAGAGGGUUGCCAACCCGCGAGGGGGAGCUAAUCCCACAAAGCCGAUCGUAGUCCGGAUCGCAGUCUGCAACUCGACUGCGUGAAGUCGGAAUCGCUAGUAAUCGUGGAUCAGCAUGUCACGGUGAAUACGUUCCCGGGUCUU